GACGAACGCUGGCGGCGUGCUUAACACAUGCAAGUCGAACGGAAAGGCACCUUUGGGGGUACUCGAGUGGCGAACGGGUGCGUAACACGUGGGUAACCUGCCCUUGACUUCGGGAUAACUGCAGGAAACUGGGGCUAAUUACGGAUAGGCAUCCUUGCUGCAUGGGGGGGGUUGGAAAGAUCUGGCGGGUUUGGAUGGGCUCGCGGCUUAUCAGCUUGUUGGUGGGGUAGUGGCUUACAAGGGCUUCGACGGGUAGCCGGCCAGUGGGGGCGACCGGCCACAUUGGGACUUAGGGACGGCCCAGGCGGCGACUGUUGGCAGCAGUGGGGAAGAUUGCACAAGGGGCGGCAGGCUGGUGCAGCAGCGCCUCGGGCUGUAUGACGGUUUUCGGGUUGGAAACCAGCUUCAGCAUGGGCGAAGCUUGUGGUGACGGUACCUGCAGAAGAAGCACCGGCUAACUACGUG
rnacentral:rRNA from 1 species